GAUGAACGCUGGCGGCGUGCCUAAUACAUGCAAGUCGCGCGAACAGACGAGGAGCUUGCUCCUCUGACGUUAGCGGCGGACGGGUGAGUAACACGUGGAUAACCUACCUAUAAGACUGGGAUAACUUCGGGAAACCGGAGCUAAUACCGGAUAAUAUAUUGAACCGCAUGGUUCAAUAGUGAAAGACGGUUUUGCUGUCACUUAUGGAUGGAUCCGCGCCGCAUUAGCUAGUUGGUAAGGUAACGGCUUACCAAGGCAACGAUGCGUAGCCGACCUGAGAGGGUGAUCGGCCACACUGGAACUGAGACACGGUCCAGACUCCUACGGGAGGCAGCAGUAGGGAAUCUUCCGCAAUGGGCGAAAGCCUGACGGAGCAACGCCGCGUGAGUGAUGAAGGUCUUCGGAUCGUAAAACUCUGUUAUUAGGGAAGAACAAAUGUGUAAGUAACUAUGCACGUCUUGACGGUACCUAAUCAGAAAGCCACGGCUAACUACGUG
rnacentral:rRNA from 1 species